rnacentral:rRNA from 1 species
GCUGGCGGCGUGCUUAACACAUGCAAGUCGCGUGCGCAGUUGCCGUAGCAAUACGGUGAUGGGCGCACGGCGCACGGGUGCGUAACACGUGGGCAAUCUGCCCUUUGAUGGGGAAUAACCCGCCGAAAGGCGGGCUAAUUCCGCAUAAGAUUCUUUGGACCUCGGUCUGAAGAUUGAAAGCAGCAAUGCGUCGAAGGAGGAGCCCGCGCCCGAUUAGCUAGUUGGUGAGGUAAUGGCUCACCAAGGCAAUGAUCGGUAGCUGGUCUGAGAGGAUGAUCAGCCACACUGGAACUGAGACACGGUCCAGACUCCUACGGGAGGCAGCAGUGGGGAAUCUUGCACAAUGGGCGAAAGCCUGAUGCAGCGACGCCGCGUGGGGGAUGAAGCAUUUCGGUGUGUAAACCCCUUUCGACUGGGAAGAAUGCCUCGCAAGAGGAGUGACGGUACCAGUA